AGAGAUAAGGCUGAUCUGGCUGUAACAUCUAUGACACUAUUGAUCACCAGGCUUGAUUUGGCUGAUAUGGCUGGUUAGUCAGGUGUCUACUCUCCCUCACCCCUCCAUGAGUAGCCCUUCCAAAGCUGUGCACUUGUUUGAAAAGGAGGAGAGGGAGACACUGGAAGGAGAGGAGGGAAGGGAAGCUGCAAUCAGGAUGUGAACUAAAUUAAUUAAUGAAUAAAAGUAAUUUAAAAAUAAACAAACAAACAAACAAACAAACAAAUAAACCUCUUUUUCUUU
rfam:Mus musculus chromosome X, GRC primary reference assembly.